CGCUUAUCCUUUCAACGUACCGGUACUGCUCCUUUUUGAGUUCAUAUAAUUCUGUCAGUUUUUGUAUAUUUUCUUAACAUGUGACUUCCUUUCGCCAUAGCCAAUUAUCCUUUAUUAUGUUCUAGUUAAGGACUGUAUGACUCAGUUAUUUUGGUAAAACUGAUCUAAAUGACGUAAUGCGGAGUUCACACAUUGUCGAUUAUUGCCCCCGUUUGAGAU
rnacentral:lncRNA from 1 species